rnacentral:rRNA from 1 species
GGACCCGCACAAGUAGUGGAGCAUGUGGUUUAAUUCGAAGAUACGCGCAGAACCUUACCAACACUUGACAUGUUCGUCGCGACUUUAAGAGAUUAAAGUUUUCGGUUCGGCCGGACGAAACACAGGUGCUGCAUGGCUGUCGUCAGCUCGUGUCGUGAGAUGUUGGGUUAAGUCCCGCAACGAGCGCAACCCUCACUUUUAGUUGCCAUCAUUUAGUUGGGCACUCUGAAAGAACUGCCAGUGAUAAGCUGGAGGAAGGUGGGGAUGACGUCAAGUCCUCAUGGCCCCUUACGUGUUGGGCUACACACGUGCUACAAAUGGGUUCUCAACAGGAAGCAAGACUGCGAAGUU